GAUGAACGCUGGCGGCGUGCUUAACACAUGCAAGUCGAACGGUAAGGCUCCAGCUUGCUGGGGUACACGAGUGGCGAACGGGUGAGUAACACGUGGGUGACCUGCCCUGCACUUCGGGAUAAGCCUGGGAAACUGGGUCUAAUACCGGAUAGGACCAUGGUGUGGACGCUGUGGUGGAAAGUUUUUUCGGUGUGGGAUGGGCCCGCGGCCUAUCAGCUUGUUGGUGGGUAAUGGCCUACCAAGGCGGCGACGGGUAGCCGGCCUGAGAGGGUGGACGGCCACAUUGGGACUGAGACACGGCCCAG
rnacentral:rRNA from 1 species